CAGGUCCACUCAAAAGCAUGCGGGAUGAAAAGACAAUUCUCAUCUCACAGCUUCUUCCGAUUUCAUUGCUUUUAUCAGUCAUUAUUGAGGUUCAGUUUCCUGUUCCACCUAUGGGAGUGGCAGGUCCGGGCAGUGACAUCACCCUUAGAUGCUUUUUCUCUUCGUCUAAAAACCUGAACCUCAACCAACUGGUCAUCAACUGGCAGCGUGGAGAAUCAAUGGUGGUCCACAGCUAUUACCAUGGAAGAGAUCAGCUGGACAGAGUGUUGUUUACAAAGGAUGCACUCAUCUGUUUGAAGACCAGCUCGCUGUGGGAAAUGUCUCACUUAGACUGAGUGGUGUGCAGCCGAGUGACCAGGGCCCAUACACUUGUGAUAUGACAGAUGAACAGGCUAGCACCCUGGAAAAGCUACUACUUUUAGUGAGAUGUUAGAGAGUGUAUUUUUGUCUGUUCAGGUUUUUUCAGGAAUCUUUUGUCAUUGGGGGAUUAAGGGACAUAAAAGUAUUAAGCAAUCUGCACAAAAGUAUUAAGCUAUCGGCCUAAAGCCCUUUGCACCCCUGGCCCCCUACAAGAAUCCACAGCUCAGCUGUCUGUACAGUCAUCCUGUGACAGCUUCAUCAUCACCCUCACCUCUCCCAGGGUUUCCCCCAGCCUGAUGUGUGGUAGAUGGACUCCAUUGGAGGAGACAUCUCCAAUUAGAGCCACGGCCGUAUCGGUCUGGACAGCAGGGGACGCUAUGAGGUCCACAGCUCCAUGGAGGUCAGGCCAAACAGUACACUCACCAUCAUUGCUGAAAUGAGACUGGAGGAUCUCAAUCAAAGCUUCACCCGCUCGAUCACCCUCCACCCACUUCCAGAAUGCUGUGAGGUGCCACUUGCAACUGGCGGCAGACCGGCUUUAGUAUUAUUAGGGAUAGUUAGCAGCAUUAGCAAUGCCACUAUUAUUAGGGAUAGUUAGCAGCAUUAGCAAUGCCACUCAUAUUGUACAUCAGACGCCUGAAACACACCAACACCAGCUGGUCCCACAUGACUAUACAACAGGACAAGAUGAGGCUCAUGAAAUAGAGACUUGAUACAUCAUGAACAAAAAUUAGUUAUAAAAGUCUAAGCUUACAGGACUGUUUCAAUGUCACAAAUAUAGGUGUGUGUGUUGCUGCCUUCUGAAAUAUUUCCACUCCCUAUUGGUAAUGUAUUAUAGAGUACUGCUUACAGUAGACUUUGCUACUCUCUGCAGCCCUAUGUAAUCCAGACUACUUUGUUUUUUGGGGGAUGCGAAGGGUGGCUACUUUGAAGAAUCUCAAAUAAAAAUAUAUUUUGAUUUAAUUAAAACUUUUUUUUAGUUACGGCAUGAUU